rnacentral:rRNA from 1 species
CACGGCCCAAACUCCUACGGGAGGCAGCAGUAGGGAAUUUUCGUCAAUGGGGGGAACCCUGAACGAGCAAUGCCGCGUGAGUGAGGAAGGUCUUCGGAUCGUAAAGCUCUGUUGUAAGAGAAUAGCGGCACUCAUAGGGAAUGAUGAGUGAGUAAUGGUAUCUUACCAGAAAGUCACGGCUAACUACGUGCCAGCAGCCGCGGUAAUACGUAGGUGGCGAGCGCUAUCCGGAAUGAUUGGGCGUAAAGGGUGCGUAGGUGGCAGAUCAAGUCUGGAGUAAAAGGUAUGGGCUCAACCCGUACUGGCUCUGGAAACUGAUCAGCUAGAGAACAGAAGAGGACGGCGGAACUCCAUGUGUAGCGGUAAAAUGCGUAGAUAUAUGGAAGAACACCGGUGGCGAAGGCGGCCGUCUGGUCUGGAUUCUGACACUGAAGCACGAAAGCGUGGGGAGCAAAUAGGAUUAGAUACCCAAGUAGUCCACGCCGUAAACGAUGAGAACUAGGUGUUGGGGGAAUAACUCAGUGCCGCAGUUAACGCAGUAAGUUCUCCGCCUGGGGAGUAUGCACGCAAGUGUGAAACUCAAAGGAAUUGACGGGGCCCGCACAAGCGGUGGAGUAUGUGGUUUAAUUCGAAGCAACGCGAAGAACCUUACCAGGCCUUGACAUCCCUUGCAGAGGUAUAGAGAUAUAUCCGAGGUUAUCAAGGAGACAGGUGGUGCAUGGUUGUCGUCAGCUCGUGUCGUGAGAUGUUGGGUUAAGUCCCGCAACGAGCGCAACCCUUGUGAUAUGUUACUAACAUUGAGUUGAGGACUCAUAUCAGACUGCCGGUGAUAAACCGGAGGAAGGUGGGGAUGACGUCAAAUCAUCAUGCCCCUUAUGGCCUGGGCUACACACGUACUACAAUGGCGUCUACAAAGAGCGGCAAGCCUGUGAAGGCAAGCGAAUCUCAUAAAGGACGUCUCAGUUCGGAUUGAAGUCUGCAACCCGACUUCAUGAAGCUGGAAUCGCUAGUAAUCGCGAAUCAGCAUGUCGCGGUGAAUACGUUCUCGGGCCUUGUACACACCGCCCGUCAAACCAUGGGAGUUGGUAAUGCCCGAAGCCGGUGGCAUAACCCUUCGGGGAGUGAGCCGUCGAAGGCAGGACCGAUGACUGGGGUUAAGUCGAACAAGGUAUCCCUACGGGAACGUGGGGAUG